rnacentral:rRNA from 1 species
CAGUAGCCGCGGGAAUACGAAGGGGGCUAGCGUUGCUCGGAAUGACUGGGCGUAAAGGGCGCGUAGGCGGCGGCCAAAGUCAGGCGUGAAAUUCCUGGGCUCAACCUGGGGGCUGCGCUUGAUACUUGGUUGCUUGAGUGGGGAAGAGGGUCGUGGAAUUCCCAGUGUAGAGGUGAAAUUCGUAGAUAUUGGGAAGAACACCGGUGGCGAAGGCGGCGACCUGGUCCUUGACUGACGCUGAGGCGCGAAGGCGUGGGGAGCAAACAGGAUUAGAUACCCCUGUAGUCCCUGUCUCUUAUAA